rfam:Schistosoma margrebowiei strain Zambia genome assembly, scaffold: SMRZ_contig0001716
AUCCAUCUGACAAGUCUCAAAUAAGACGAAACGCGCGUCCUGUAU